ensembl:lncRNA
UCUCACUUAAGAGGAAAGACUGUUCCAUCUGAAGAGGAAAUGUCUGAGAGGUGAUCUCAUAUCUUCAUGAAUAUCUAGGGUGUAAGAGUCAAGCUUAUGGGUUGAACUCUUUUCUGUGGUAUGCAGCGACAGAACAAGGGGCAGUGGUAAGAAACUGGAACCCAGGAAGUUCCACAUUAUCACAAGAAGAACUUCUUUACUGUGAGAUAGACAGUGCUUUGGAGUAGGCUGCCCAGAGAGGUUGUGGAGUGUCCUUCUCUGGAGAUAUUCAAGACUGAUCUGUACGUCUACCUAUGCAAUCUGCUGUAGGAAACAUGCUUUAGCAGAGAACAUGAAAAAAAAGACCCAAGUUGAAGAUUACUAACAAGGCUCACAAAGGUAAGUAAUUUUUCAAGCCUGAUACAAGAGGGAUUGUUCCUGUGGUGGGGAGAUCUACUAUUACACCUCUGCUGUUCGCUGGAGAAGAAACACUUUAACUGCUUCCUCCUAUGCUAUGAGAGGGUGUCGGAGGACAUGGUCUUGUCCUGGUCUUCUGAACAGCUUAGUCACUCAACCUCUUCUGGUUCCUGGUGUAGAAACCAGCCACUCAUGUCCAGAUGCUACUAAGUUUGAGGAGUUGCGAAAUUGGCUCAUGAGAAGAUUGACUGUGGAAGAGGUCUCUGUUGAUACUGGAAAAGGUCUUCUCACACGAAGCUGUGUUUAUGGGACUUACAGCUGAUGGAACAUGACAACCUGCUACUAGAGAGAAGAAGAAGGUAGGAUGAAGAUACAGGAAAGAGAGGGAAGGCCUUCUGCCACAGCUCGCUGCAAAGAGAUGCAACAUCCUCCUUGGGAUGGUCUCUCCCCACUACAGCAGCUGGUGAUGACAGUGGUGUUGUAGCCAGCAUAGUCAUCAUCCCAUUUUCUCCUCCACGGACUGGCACAGCCCAGGUGGCCAUUUCACACAGGACCUGACAUUUCCCCCC